AGUCGAACGGAAAGGCCCUUCGGGGUACUCGAGUGGCGAACGGGUGAGUAACACGUGGGUGAUCUGCCCUGCACUUUGGGAUAAGCCUGGGAAACUGGGUCUAAUACCGAAUAGGACCGCAUGCUUCAUGGUGUGUGGUGGAAAGCUUUUGCGGUGUGGGAUGGGCCCGCGGCCUAUCAGCUUGUUGGUGAGGUAAUGGCUUACCAAGGCGACGACGGGUAGCCGGCCUGAGAGGGUGACCGGCCACACUGGGACUGAGAUACGGCCCAGACUCCUACGGGAGGCAGCAGUGGGGAAUAUUGCACAAUGGGCGCAAGCCUGAUGCAGCGACGCCGCGUGAGGGAUGACGGCCUUCGGGUUGUAAACCUCUUUCGCCAGGGACGAAGCGCAAGUGACGGUACCUGGAGAAGAAGGACCGGCCAACUACGUGCCAGCAGCCGCGGUAAUACGUAGGGUCCGAGCGUUGUCCGGAAUUACUGGGCGUAAAGAGCUCGUAGGUGGUUUGUCGCGUUGUUCGUGAAAACUCACAGCUUAACUGUGGGCGUGCGGGCGAUACGGGCAGACUUGAGUACUGCAGGGGAGACUGGAAUUCCUGGUGUAGCGGUGGAAUGCGCAGAUAUCAGGAGGAACACCGGUGGCGAAGGCGGGUCUCUGGGCAGUAACUGACGCUGAGGAGCGAAAGCGUGGGGAGCGAACAGGAUUAGAUACCCUGGUAGUCCACGCCGUAAACGGUGGGUACUAGGUGUGGGUUUCCUUCCUUGGGAUCCGUGCCGUAGCUAACGCAUUAAGUACCCCGCCUGGGGAGUACGGCCGCAAGGCUAAAACUCAAAGAAAUUGACGGGGGCCCGCACAAGCGGCGGAGCAUGUGGAUUAAUUCGAUGCAACGCGAAGAACCUUACCUGGGUUUGACAUGCACAGGACGCCGGCAGAGAUGUCGGUUCCCUUGUGGCCUGUGUGCAGGUGGUGCAUGGCUGUCGUCAGCUCGUGUCGUGAGAUGUUGGGUUAAGUCCCGCAACGAGCGCAACCCUUGUCUCAUGUUGCCAGCACGUUAUGGUGGGGACUCGUGAGAGACUGCCGGGGUCAACUCGGAGGAAGGUGGGGAUGACGUCAAGUCAUCAUGCCCCUUAUGUCCAGGGCUUCACACAUGCUACAAUGGCCGGUACAAAGGGCUGCGAUGCCGUGAGGUGGAGCGAAUCCUUUCAAAGCCGGUCUCAGUUCGGAUCGGGGUCUGCAACUCGACCCCGUGAAGUCGGAGUCGCUAGUAAUCGCAGAUCAGCAACGCUGCGGUGAAUACGUUCCCGGGCCUUGUACACACCGCCCGUCACGUCAUGAAAGUCGGUAACACCCGAAGCCGGUGGCCUAACCCCUUGUG
rnacentral:rRNA from 1 species